GCGCAUCUAGUGUAGUGGUUGCAUAGUACCUUUCCACGUUACAUAGCUAUUCAGGUACUGGCCAGGGUUCGAAUCCCUGGAUGCGCA
rnacentral:tRNA from 1 species